rnacentral:lncRNA from 1 species
UUUGCCCUUCUGGCAGCCUCUCCAGGCCCAGGACUUCCUCAAGUCGGCCUCUGCCAGCCCAGUGGCCGCCUCCCGGCCUCCUCUCCGGGCCCAGCUCCUUGCUCGUGGCUGCGCCCGCAGGCCCAGCUCCUGCCGCUGAACAGCCUUCUGUGACUCGGCUCCUGCCCAUCUUCCGGCGGCCUCCCUAGGCCCGAAGCCUCCUCCGGUCCAGCUCUCCAGGCCCGCCUCCUGCCUCGCGGCGGCCUUUCCAGGCCCAGCUCUCGCCUCCCGGCGGCCUUCCCUGGCCACGCUCGCGCCGGCGUCCCGGCAGCCUCAAUGAGCCCAGCUCCUGCCUCACGAGGGCUCCUCCGGGCCCAGCUCAUGCGUCGCGGCGGCCUCUCCAGGCCCGACUCCCGCCCAGCUCGACGGCGUCUCCCGGCCCAAGGCUCCCUUCCUCAACGUCGGCCCCUCUGGGCCCAGCUUCUGCCUCCCGCUGAUGGCCUGUGCGGGCCCACCCGAGGCGGCCCGAAGUCGGCCUCGCCAGGCCCAGCUCCUGCCUGGCGUAGGCCCCUGGGGGCACCGCCUCUGCCCCACAGUGGCCCCUCCGGGCCCAGCUCGUGCCUCGGCUUGGCCGCCUCAGGCCCAGCUCCUGCCUGUGGGCGGCCUCUCUCCAGACCCGGCUCUCGCCUCCCGGCAUCCUCUCCAGGCCCAGAACUGUUUCCAGUGGGCCUCUCCAGGCCCGGCUCUCCCUCCCAGCCGCGUCCUCCGGCCCAAGUCCUGCCUGACGACAACCACGUUGGGCCCAGCUCCUGCCCAGCUCCUGGCAGCCUUUGUCGGCCCCAGGCUUCCCUACGUCAGGCCUUACAGGCCCACCUUCGGCUUCCCGGCGGCCGGGAGAGACCCGGCUCCUGCCUGACAACGGCCUCCCCUGGCCCAGCGGUGGCCUCACGUCGGCCUCCCCAGGCCACGUUUGCGCCUGCCUCGCGGCAGCCUCCACAGGCCCGGCUCCUGCGUCCCCACGGCCUGCCCAGGCCCGGCUCGUGCCUCGCCGCGGCCUCCUGAGGCCCAGCUUUGCCCUUCUGGCGGCCUCUCCAGGCCCAGGACUUCCUCGAGUCGGCCUCCGCCGGCCCAGUGGCCGCCUCCCGGCCUCCUGUCCAGGCCCAGCUCCUUGCUCGCGGCUGCGCCCGCGGGCCCAGCUCCUGCCUCCGAACAUCCUCCUGUGACUCGGCUCCUGCCCAGCUCCCGGCGGCCUCCGUAGGCCCGAAGCCUCCUCCGGUCCAGCUCUCCAGGCCCGCCUCCUGCCUUGCGGCGGCCUUUCCAGGCCCAGCUCUCGCCUCCCGGCGGCCUUUCCCGGCCACGCUCGUGCCGGCUUCCUGGCAGCCUCCACGAGCCCGGCUCCUGCCUCACGCGGGCCCCUCCAGGCCCAGCUCGUGCCUCGCGGCGGCCUCUCCAGGCCCGGCUCCCGCCCAGCCCGACGGCGUCUCCCGGCCCAAGGCUCCCUUCCUCAACGUCGGCCCCUCUGGGCCCAGCUCCUGCCUCCCGCUGAUGGCCUGUGCGGGCCCACCUGAGGCGGCCCGAAGUCGGCCUCACCAGGCCCAGCUCCUGCCUGGCGUAGGCCCCUGGGGGCACGGCCUCUGCCCCACAGUGGCCCAGCUCCUGCCUGUGGGCGGCCUCUCUCCAGACCCGGCUCUCGCCUCCGGCAUCCUCUCCAGGCCCAGAACUGUUUCCAGUUGCUAGACCAUUUUUGUGCCUGCCUCGUUGCAGCAUCUCCAAGCCCAGCUUUUGCUUUUCUGCAGUUUCUUGAGGCCGAACUCCAUUUUUCGAAUGGCUUAUUUAGGCCCAGCUCUUGCGUUUGCAUUGUCCCUCCAGGCCCAGAACUUUCUCACGUCAUCGUCACCAGGCCUAGCUUCUGCAUCUGGUCGGCCUUUUAAGGCCCAGCUUUUGCCUCAUAAACUCAGCUCCUGUUUAAUGGCGGCCUCCCAGGUCCCACCUUCUGCCUUCCUGUGUCCACUCCAGGCCCAGCUUCUGCCUUGGUGCUCUUUUUAAGUCAAUAAUUUUUUCCAGUCGACCUCUCCAGGCCCAACUUGUACCUCUGAGUGUCCUCUAGGAUCUCAGCUUCUGCCUAAUAAUGACCUCUUUAGACUCAGCUCAUUUUCACUGCUACAUCUUCAAGCCAUUCUCCUGCCUCUUGGCAACCUCUAGUGGCCCAGCUUCUGCCUCACAGCAGCCUUUCCAUGCAUGCCUAGCUCCUGCCUCUUUAGGGAACUUACAGGCCUAAAACUUUCUUAAUUUGGGCUUCUCAGGCCCAGCUCCUGCCUUCUGUUGGCCUCUACAGGCCUGGUAUCAUCCUUUCAACAGCCUCUUUAGGCCCGGCCUCUCCAGGACCAAAACAUCCUUAAGUCAACCUCACCAGGCCCGGCUCCUGUCUCCUUGCGGCCUCCAGAGGCCGAGCUUUUGCCUGCCAAUGGCCUCUCUAGCCCCAGCUUCUGCCUUUCAUCGGUCUGUCCAGGCUUAGCUCCUUUCUCUUCACAGCCUCUGCAGGCCUAAAACUUCCUCAAUUUGGCAUCUCCAGGCCCAGCUCCUGCCUCCAGGCCGCCUCUGCAGGCCUAUCUCAAGCCUUACAACAGCCUCUUUACCCCCAGCUCCUUUCUCCGACUUGUCUCUCCAGGCCUAGAACUUCCUCAUAUUUACCUCACCAGGCCCACCUCCUGCCUUCCAGUAGCGUCUACAAGUUUGGCUCCUGCCUCCCAUGGAUCUCUCCAGGCCCCAAACUUUCUCAAGUCAACCUCAUCAGGCCCGGCUUCUCCCUUUCAUCAGCCUUCCAAAGGCCAGCUUUUGCUUCAUGUCUGCCUUCCGAGUCCCAGCUCCUGUUUUAUGGCAGCCUCCUGAGGCCCAGCUCCUGCCUCCUAGUGGCCUCUUUUGGCCCAACUCUUUCCUCACCAGGGCCUUCCAGACCACGUUCCUGCCUUUUAGCAGCCACUACAGGCCCAGCUUUGCGUCCUUUCAAGAGUCCUGCCUCACAGUGGCCUCCCAAGGGCAACUUUCUGCCUCAUGUCAGCCUCUGGUGCCCUGGUCCUGCUUCCUGGUAGACUCUGCAGGCCCUGCUCCUGCCUUACGUUGCCCCUUUUAUAAAGAUCCAGUUCCUGCCUCCUGGCUGCCUCUAUGAGCCCAAAUCCUGCCUAACAACAACCUGUUUUUGCCCAGCUCCUGCUUCCUGGCAGCCUCCUUAGGCCAAAAAUUUCCUUCAGUUGACCUCUCCAGGCCCAGCUCCUGCCUCUCAGCACCCUCUUUAGGCCCAGCUCCUGCCUUAAUAAAUUUGAAUAAAUUAUUAUUAUGUGA